UUUUACUAAUAGAAUAUAAAUUAUAUUUAAUUAUAUGAUUUAAUCUUCUAAUAUCAAAUUAAAUUAUAAAUUUAUUAUUAUAUAUAUCUUAACAAUAAAGUUAUAUUAUAUUUAAUUAUUAUUUAAAUUAAUAAUGUUAAAAUUAGUAAAUAAUAUUUAUUUUAUUUAGGAACUCGGCAAAAAUAUUAUUCAUCUGUUUAUCAAAAACAUAGUUUUAUGUAGUAUAUAUAAAAUGAAACCUGCCCACUGAUUAUAAUUUAACGGCCGCAGUACCUUGACUGUGCUAAGGUAGCAUAAUAAAUUGACUCUUAAUUGGGGCCUUGAAUGAAUGGAUAAAUGAAUAAUUUCUGUCUUAAUAAAAAUCAUUUUAAGUUACUUAAAAGGUGAAAAUUCCUUUAAUUUAUUUAAUAGACGAGAAGACCCUAGGAGUUUUAAGUUUUGUUGGGGCGACAAUAUAGCAUAUAACCUAUAUUCAAUAGUAUUAUAAAACGAAUAAUUUUAAUAAUAAAUAAACUACCCUAGGGAUAACAGCACAAUUUAAAUUUAAGUUUGUGACCUCGAUGUUGGACUAGGAACUUUUAACAUUAACAAUGUUAACUGAUAGUUCUGUUCGA
rnacentral:rRNA from 1 species